GGCCUGUUUUGGGAAUGAUGAGAUUCUUAGCCUUGCCAGGCACUUUGCGCUUUCUCUCCCAGUGGGCUACAGCGAAGACGCUCUGUGGAAGGAGUGGCUGAGCUUGAAAGCAACUACCCAGAACCUUCCAUUCUCCAUGCUGUGCAAGACCGCCCUGACUCAGCACUGCCGAUUCCCUCUGCUGAGCAGACUCGUGGCUGUGGUGCUCAGUGUGCCCAUCUCCACUUCCUGCGGUGAACGGGGGUUCAAGGCCAUGAGCAGGAUCAGGACGGAUGAGAGGACCAAACUCUCCAAUGAGGUGCUCAACACUCUCAUGAUGACAGCAGUGAAUGGUGUGCCAGUCACGGAGUAUGACCCUCAGCCAGCCAUCCAGCACUGGUAUCUGACCUCUUCAGGACGCCGCUUCAGCCACAUCUAGGCCUGUGCCCGGGCGCCUACCCGCUCCCAUGCCAAUACAGGGCUCAGGAAGGAGGGGAUGGCAGCACUUUGUAAGGAGGACUCCAUGGCCCAGAAUACAUCUGUCACACCAUCUGGGGAGCCAUAAGGUUUAGAAGUCACAUGGUGAAGGUUCCUGUACCCUAUACCAUCUCAAAGAUCCCAUGGACCUGAAGAGGAGUAGCUGGGACAAGGCUUUGGGGCCCCCUUGAUUGUGGAAAAUGGCUUUCUGAAGAUUCUAGGCUGUCCUGGUGUAAUACCUUAUGGACCCAGAAUGUGGGCAGUGACAAAGGAUUGAAGCAGACAACCCAAGGGGCAAGGCCCUCAAGGUGCCACUGUGCCUCCCAAUGCAAAAGCAUGCCAGACAAGCACUUACCUCAAGUCCGUUUUGCCCAAAGGAUCCUGCCCUGAGAGAGUUCAUCCCACAUACUCUGUUGGCAGAGGACUUCCUGAAGUGGGAGAUUAGGGGUGAUGGGUGAAAGGAGCACUCUGGUUCUCUACAUCCACGGCACAAAUGGGAGGUGACCUAUGAGGAAGGCCAUUUGAUGGUGGAAGUGAUUGUGCUCCCGGGACCUUGGCCUGCUGCAGAAGCUCCCAGGAUUAGCCAUUCUGGACCACUCAUGCAGUAGAAUCAAGGAGACCCUACCCCUCAAGGCCUGCCUUUAGCAUGAAACAUACCAGCAUCCUUUGCACAGAGCAUGCAAAAGGUGUUCUCAUCACACCUCCUAUGUAGUAAAGCAUGCUUCCUCUGAAGGGAGCCUGGUGUUCGCUCCCCACCUCUGAACCCUUGGGUUGGCUGCUGUGGUUUCCUGACAAAUACACAAGAGGUGGGAGCUGGAAGGUGCUGAAUCCAGGCCUGCUCUUCUGCAGACAGUGUGCCUAUGAUUAACCCCUUCCUCUUUUCUGUGCCUCGUUUUCAGUCCCCAUGUGGUUGCCACAGAGACUCCAAGUGCCUCUUGGCUCCCUGUAGCUGCAGCAGUAGUCAGUGGGAGCCUCAAAGUUCUAGAGAGAAGGGUUUGUCUGGAGCACUUAGCUGCUCCUACCCUGCACGUGUCCUUCCUUAGUGGUAAAGGUACCAGCUUUGCCACUAGAAUUGUACCGUAGGCAGAGGUGCUGUCCUCACCCGCUGUCCACAGGACAGAUGCACCCGUCCUGCAGACUGCUCAGAAGCACCAGAGCUUGGGAAAUGUUCUCCAUCCUGGAUGUAUAGACUCAUAUUCCCCAAACCACCUCAGCAGCUAUGGUUUCUCAUCAGCUUCCCCAGGAUCUCUGUGGGUGUCAUCUAGCUUAAUGGCCACUUCCAUUCUCAUAGAAGGGCCUUCAGCAAAACUAGGUCUUUGGGCUGCCUCCCUUUUCCCCUUUAUGCUGACCUGAAGCAUAUUCCUUCCAGGGCAGCCUGACCUUGCAGGCUCAGUGUGGUUUCCUGUUUUGUUAGGAUGAACUUUUUAGGCUCUGCCUUUUUUGACUUGAGGCUGGAGAACUGUCCAGUGGAAGGGCUCCUUGCCUCUGUCUCCUGCUCAUUUUAAGUGUGCAGGAACCUUGCUUGUUGUCUGUCUGCUGUAGACCCCUGGUCUAUGCUAUAAGCACACACACAGCCUCCGACCCAGCUACCCACUCCUUCCAGCAGGUGCUGAAACCCAGUGAUUCCUGGUGCCUCACAUUGUGCAGACCUUAUGUCUCUCUGCCCCAGCUCUUAUCCUUGGUGUGCAGUGUUUAGUUUCCUGCUCAAGAAGAUCCCCUAUCCAGCCUAGGAGCUUGCAGGAAAGGGGCAGUCAGGCCUUUGGCUCCAAAUCUAGGAGGUGACCUAGGCAAAAUCUCAGAGUCCAGGGAUUUUCCAGGUCAGGGCUGAGCCAUCUGCAUGGCUUCGGCAAGCUUCUCUCCUACAUCUUUCCUUUCAAAAUACCCUCAGCAAGACCCCAGUCCUGUGUCAGGUAGCCAUGGUUUCUGGAAUGAGGUCUGGGGAGCUGAGGUGGCUACCAGGUGGAGAAGCGCCCUGUCUUCUCCACACCAGCACGCUGAGGUCACGUGCUGAUGUGGAGCAGGGUGUUUCUAGGCUAAGAAACACUGGGUGGUUGUUAUGCAUAGAGCAGGUUUCUUAGCCUAUGUGUGUCACUCAGGUCUCCCUGACCCUUUGCUAGCUCAAGAUAGAGAAGUAAUGUUCGUGUUUAGGCCCUGAAGGGGACACAUGGUGAGCACCCUCACCUUGUAGCCUUUGUGCUCAGGCUGGUCCUGUUUGGCUUAGGUGUGGCUGCAUUCCACUGGGUGCAUCUGGUUUCUCCUCCAGGGAAAACAAGCCAGAGGGCAUUGUGAGGAGGAGGAAGAGGGGGUGGCACCACCCCUUUGGCAUCAACCUUGACCUCUCCCUCCUUUCCCACCUUUUAACAUACAUGACACCCUGCACUCCUCUCCACCUGUCUGUCUCUAUGCAGCCUCUGCUGCCCUGAAACUUACUAUGUAUAUGGGCUGGCCUUCAACGCAGUGAUCCUUUCUCUCCCUGGUGCUGGGAUUAAAGGCUGGUGCCACACCCCUGGCUCCUGCCUGUUCUCAUCUUGCAUAUUUCCUGGCACGUAUCCCUCCCUUCGCCUGGUAACUGGUGCCCACUGGGCUGCUCCAAGUAGCCAACAUUGGACACAGCACUUUGAUUUCAGUCGCCAUAGAGACUUGGGGAAGUGAGGAAGCUCAGCCCCUGACCAGCUAAACACAGUAGAGUAUAGCCACCCCCAGACCUGGUGCCACAAAGGGCAAGUCCCUAGAGUGCUGAGUAUGGUUAUAACAGUAUGAGGGUUGCCAUUUUACUAUGGUGUCUGUGUAGCCAAAACCAAAGAUGAUUGGUCUGGGGUGCUCUGGGCUCUUGGUUUCAAGGGUGUAGAAAUUAGAUUAAAAAACCAUGUUCAAGGCUUAACUUUCGCUAUUUGAAUAAAGCAGGAUUUGAUUAU